rnacentral:misc_RNA from 1 species
UACGAGGGGUGCAAGCGUUAUUCGGAAUGACUGGGCGUAAAGGGUGCGUAGACGGUAUGUUAAGUCUUUUGUUAAAGACCUCAGCCUAACUGAGGAUCAGCGAGGGAAACUGGCGUACUUGAGGUUGGAAGAGAGGAGUGGAAUUCUCGGAGUAGCGGUAAAAUGCGUAGAUCUCGAGAGGAACACCAAUGGCGAAGGCAGCUCCUUGGUCCAAUCCUGACGUUGAAGCACGAAAGCGUGGGUAGCAAACAGG